GGAUAUAGCUCAGUGGUCAGAGUACUGGACUCGUAAUUUGAAGGCCCAGGUUCGAACCCUGUAUUUUUUUAACU